GUCAGGGACCCCAGAGGACCUGCCACUACGUACCAUUCGGCAGGACGUGCAGACCCUCCGAGGUUCAUCGGUGUCGUUUUCUGUCUCUUCCCCCGCCAAGCCGAAGACAAAGUUUAAGAUUAGAAGUGCCUUCACGUCAGCUCACCUGGGUCUAGCGAGCCAUACUUACCCCAUGGAGCAGCUCAGGGGAAAAUAUAAACACCUCGUUGGCCUCCCCAUCAGAACCCUCACCGAUGUCCGACCAUUGUUACUCAUCGGCAGCGACCACCCCCAUCUCAUCACCCCAAUUGAACCUGUCAGGUUGGGACCACCGGGCGGACCGGCCGCCAUACACACAAGGCUUGGUUGGACACUGCAGGGCCCUUCGAGUGUCGUUUGUCACCCAUCUCAGCAAUGCCUGUUUACGUCAGUCACCUCUCCAAUGGCUGAGCUGAUGAAACAUGUGGAAAGGUUAUGGCAAAUGGACACUGUACCGUACAGGAACGAGAAGCUGGUGACUCGUUCCAGGGAGGAUCAGACGGCCAUACGCACCCUCGAGACGAAGACCAUUAGAGUAGAGAUUGAUGGUGUCCACCGAUACGCCACCCCACUGCUCCGCCGCGAAGACAUGCCGGUCCUUCAUGCCACCAAAGAGGCAGUCAUGCCUAACCUACGAAGUGUGGAGAGACGACUGUCCAAGGAUCCUGCACGUACCGAGGCCUACAGAACAGAAAUGGAGAAACUGAUCAGAGCAGGCUCGGUCGUCAAGUGUGAGUCACCAGUCGAAGAAGGUGGUGAGGAGUGGUACAUCCCCCACCAUAUGGUGAGCCACAAUGGGAAGAACCGGCUGGUGUUCAACUGCUCGUAUCAGUACCGGGGACAGAAUCUCAACGAAUACUUACUGCCUGGGCCGACCUUGGGAGCAUCACUACUGGGGGUACUUUUGCGCUUCCGAGAACAUGCAGUAGCAGUCAGCGGAGACAUCCGAGGCAUGUUCCAUCAGGUGCGCCUCCUUCCCGAGGAUCGAGCCCUGCUCAGGUUCAUCUGGCGGGAUGUCAACACAGGAGAGCCUCCAGCUGUGUAUGAGUGGCAGGUGUUACCGUUCGGCACCACGUGCAGCCCCUGCUGCGCGACAUUCGCCUUGCAGCUCCACGUCAUCAAGCAUACCGAGCCAAACGAUGAAGUGAGGGCCUCAGUGGAGAGAUGCUUCUAUGUGGAUAACUGCCUGCAAAGUGUUCCCACCGUCACGGAGGCAAGGCGCCUGGUCGAC
rnacentral:lncRNA from 1 species